rnacentral:rRNA from 1 species
AGUGAACGCUGGCGGCGUGCUUAACACAUGCAAGUCGAACGAGAACGGAAUAUAGCUUGCUAUAUUUGUCAGCUAAGUGGCGCACGGGUGAGUAAUGUAUAGAUAACCUGCCCUUAAGAAAGGAAUAACAGUUGGAAACGACUGCUAAUGCCCUAUAUGCCUUUAAUACAUAAGUAUGCAAGGGAAACGCUUUAGUGCUUAAGGAUGGGUCUGUAUGGUAUCAGCUUGUUGGUGAGGUAAUGGCUCACCAAGGCUAUGACGCCUAACUGGUUUGAGAGGAUGAUCAGUCACACUGGAACUGAGACACGGUCCAGACUCCUACGGGAGGCAGCAGUGGGGAAUAUUGCACAAUGGACGAAAGUUUGAUGCAGCAACGCCGCGUGGAGGAUGACACAUUUCGGUGCGUAAACUCCUUUUAUAUAGGAAGAUAAUGACGGUACUAUAUGAAUAAGCACCGGCUAACUCCGUGCCAGCCGCCGCCGUAA